CGUAGGGUGCGAGCGUUGUCCGGAAUUAUUGGGCGUAAAGGGCUCGUAGGCGGUUUGUCGCGUCGGGAGUGAAAACACCGGGCUUAACUCGGUGCUUGCUUUCGAUACGGGCAGACUAGAGGCAUGCAGGGGAGAACGGAAUUCCUGGUGUAGCGGUGAAAUGCGCAGAUAUCAGGAGGAACACCGGUGGCGAAGGCGGUUCUCUGGGCAUGUCCUGACGCUGAGGAGCGAAAGUGUGGGGAGCGAACAGGAUUAGAUACCCUGGUAGUCCACACCGUAAACGUUGGGCGCUAGGUGUGGGGCCUAUUCCAUGGGUUCCGUGCCGCAGCUAACGCAUUAAGCGCCCCGCCUGGGGAGUACGGCCGCAAGGCUA
rnacentral:rRNA from 1 species